GUUUUGGAAGCCCUCCUAAGCAGUUGGAGGAACUGGUUAUUUUCCCAGGGCUUUGACUGAAAUGGCCUUGUGAAUGGUUCCAGGAAAGCCAAUUUUGGAGACCCUAUGUGGAUGAUGAUGCUUGCUGUACUUUCUGUGGGUAAUCGGGCCAAGUAUAUGGGACUGAAGCUAAUUUUGCAGGUGAGAAAAUGGAGGUCCAGAGAGAAAAGUGACUCACCCAAGCUGAAAACAGUUGCAGGAAGAAAAGCCAGGACAGAACUGGGCUGUUAGAAACCUUGGAGUACACUAAAGAUGAGGAACUGAGUCACCGCAAUGCCAAAUGUAACACGCUGUGGGUCAAAAUUUGGAUGGUUGCGUUGGAAAUUAUUCUGAAGCCACAGACAGGGCUAAAAGGUAAGUAUGAAUAAUUAGUAAUGCUUGCCAUAGACAGAUUAAAGUGUUGACAUCACAUAGGACAAGAAUUUGCCACCAAUAGAUGAGAGGAUUGUUGAUGUCCUUGAAUUGGAAAUGAACGAGCUAAUUGGUUAGUUACUUAUUCACUCUAACCCAGAAAGCAGCAGCUUGUGAAAAAAGUUUUUGCUGGUAACACACAGGAAAUAGAAAAUUUAGUAUUUUUUCCAGUGGAAAAGCCCUCUUGUAUCACCAAGCAGAAGAGAACAUGAUGUCUUUUCUUUUGAUGUAAUUUAGGAUGAUUCACAAAGUGUUCAUAGCAGGGAAGCUGAUGGAAAAGUGACAUGCCCCUAGACUUGAGAGAUGCUCUCUAAGUUUAAAAAGGAAACAGCUUAUUGUAAAAUUUAUUUGAAUCCUACAACCUUCCCAUAUCUGUGUAAUUAGCAAAAAGACAAGCUGCAACCAGAGAGGUAAAGUAUCAAUUUAUCUCAUACUUAUUUAUUGAGAACAUCCUCUGAGCUGUGUACUAUGUUAGGCAGAGAAAACAAACAAUAAGCAAGACACAGUCCCUGACUCCAUAUGAUUAUCAGGGAGGCUAGGAAAAGUCAUCUCUGCUUGGACAACUCCUUUCCAGAAAUACCUCUCUUCUCUUAAAGGGACAUGCACAUGUACAUAUUAUAAUAAAUGAAUCGAGGAAAUAUAUAAUAUUUAUAUAUAAUAUAUAAAUAUA
rnacentral:lncRNA from 1 species